AUUUAACUGUUAAUUUCUCCUUUACGCCUUAAUUAACCCUCCCGCCGCCUCAUCAACAGGUUAUUAAAGGUCCUCCGCACCUGUAUGACCUCCUAAUCUAAGGUCAAAGGGUGUAAUAAGGUCAGGGUCGCUGUGAAAUGAGGUGGGGCUUGAGACGGGGACAUAACGGGGACAUGGCCGACUUGAGCGCUACCAUUUUUUACCUCAUUUCUUGACCUCCCGGCCUUAGGUCAGGUCACGGGGGGUCAUGACCACGUGACCAGUGACCUCACGGACCUUUGGCACCCGGUAACGAAGCCCAAAAGGUCAAAAUAAGGUCAAGGUCGCUGAAUCCUUACGCCGGUGACUUAGGACAUGGCGCUCACGACCUCCCAUAUCCUGACCCCAUAGCUUGACCUGACCCUUGGGGGAGGCCACGUGGGGUUCUAGGAAGUCAAAAAAGCCUGAAAAUUACGAAGAAACGCCUUAAAUGACCCCAAAACAGCCUGAAAUACCCUGAGAUAAGCCUGGUUAACCCUAUAGGCCUACGUGACCCUAUGGCUUUACGUGACCCUGGGGGGGGGUCAUGGUGGGCUUGGGGUGGUCAGAAACGCCUGAAUAUUAUGAUAGAAUGCCUUAAAUAACAUCAGAACAGCCUGAAAUAAGCCUUGUAUGUCUGUCGUGAUGUCCGUCAGUCUGUCAGUCAGCCCUAAGCCCAAGUAGACCACAAGGCUUUAGUACAGGCUUCCCAGGGCUUAUAAUGACCCCAAAAUGCUUGAAAAUAAUAAAAAAGCCAGAAAUUUGCCUAGGAAAGCCCUGAAGCCUGUGAAUUAAGCCCAGUCUGUCUUGAAAAUCAACCCAACAAGACCACAAGGCUUUAGUACAGGCUUCUCAGGGCUAAUAUAGACCCGCAAAAGCCUGAAAAUAAUGUAAAAAGCCUGAAAUUAGCCUGAGAAAGCCCUUAAGACCUGUGAAAUAAGCCCGAGGAGUCUGAAAAAUGUGUAUGGUGUCUUCUCAGCCCGUAGCUCCCAGCCCAUUCAGUCCCCAGGCCUCAGUGAGUUUCCAGGGCUUAUUUGGACACAUAAAAGCCUGAAAAUAAGCCUGGGAAAGCCCUGUACUCUGUGAAAAUAUCCCCAUAAUUCUUAAAAAUAUAUGUGGUGUCAAGCCCAUAGCCCCUUGUCAGCCCUCAGCCCCAUAAACCCAUUUAGUCCUCAAGGCUUUAGUAUAGGCUUGCCAGGGUUCCCAAGGUUAAAAUAGGCCCCAGAAAGCCUGGAAGGCCCUAAAGCUUGCUAGCAGGAAAAUUUGGGUGGGUCAAAACCGGUGUCAUGCCCGGGUGGUGAUGAAUCAUACUGGGAAAUAUAUUAACACAAGCCUGGGAAUGAAUAUAAUAGAUAAAUAAUGCUAGAAAUAAAACCACUAAUAUAAUGAACUAUUCUACUAAUAAUAUACUAACACAGUGCUUAGAAUUAAUAAUAGAUAAGUAAUGCUUGAAAUAAAACCACUAAUGAACUAUUCUACUAAUAAUAUACUAACACAGUGCUUAAAAUUAAUAAUAGAUAAAUAAUGCUAGAAAUAAAACCACCAAUAUAAUGAACUAUU